rnacentral:rRNA from 1 species
AUUGAACGCUGGCGGCAGGCCUAACACAUGCAAGUCGAGCGAGCGGCGGACGGGGGAGUAAUGUCUGGGAAACUGUCUGAGGGAGGGGGAUAACUACUGGAAACGGUAGCUAAUACCCCACACCAUCACAUGUGCCCCGAUGGGGUUAGCUAGUAGGUGGGGUAAUGGCUCACCAAGGCGACGAGCCCUCGCUGGUCUGAGAGGAUGACCAGCCACACUGUAACUGAGACACGGUCCAGACUCCGACGGGAGGCAGCAGUGGGGAAUAUUGCACAAUGGGCGCAAGCCUGAUACAGCCAUGCCGCGUGUGUGAAGAAGGCCUUCGGGUUGUAAAGCACUUUCAGCGGGGAGGCGUUACCCGCAGAAGAAGCACCGGCUAACUCCGUGCCAGCAGCCGCGGUAAUUC